GUGAAUCAUCGAAUUUUUGAACGCAAAUUGCACUCUCUGGUAUUCCGGAGAGUAUGCCUGUUUGAGGGUCAGUUUAAAUAAAAAUCGGUGUGGUUGCUGCCUUUCGUGGUUACGCACCGGAUGUGUGUCGUCUUGCCUUCGGUUCAGUGACCUAAAAUUUUCCAUGAUUUUUUCGAACGUAUUUAGCUGAUUUUACGUACGUUUGCGAUAUCGAAAACUACGUGCGGUCAUCCUCAUGAUCCGCCACUAUAAUUUCUCAUCAAAAUUA
rnacentral:misc_RNA from 1 species